UAGAAUAGUCGAAAAACAAAAAGGGGUUCCGAAAGUGUUUUGUUGCUGUGACUGACUCGCCUACAGAAAAUAUGCACAUACCACAUAAGUAUACGUCAAUGUCUGUAAUAAUGGUAGAUCAAAUGUUUCAUCUGUGUGAAACUUUUUGCUAAUCGAAAUGUUAAACCAACCACCAAUCCAUGUACAUGGAUGCGCUACGUAAACAAAGUUGUUGAUUGAUGCAUCGUAAUGUCCGAGUGCUGCAUGCUGAGAGAUUAAAUACUGUUUAUACAGUCAUUGAGAGGCUAAACAAAGUUUCUUGCAAGAAGAGGAAGUUGGUGGAUGCAUUCAACUUGGACAACGAAAUCAUAGUUUCGUUUGGCAUCAGCCUGAGGACCAAUGGAGGUUAGAUAGGACCAGUGCAGGUUGAAGUGGAUUUCGAGUCAACAAGUAUAACAGCAAGAGAGGUACUCCAUUUACAGUGAUGAUGACAUAUCCCCAUGACCCCCACAACUCCACAAAUUUAAAAAUGUUUGAUCAAGUUCCGAAGAUUAAAUAACUACUGCAAAAUUUGGGACUGGAUGAAAAACAUUAAUUCACUUAUAUGAGCUCAGAGCAGUGGAUGUUAUGCAACAUACUUUAAACUAAAUUGUGAAUUUAAGGGAAAACA